rnacentral:rRNA from 1 species
CCUACGGGCGGCUGCAGUGAGGAAUAUUGGUCAAUGGGGGAAACCCUGAUGCAGCGACGCCGCGUGAGUGAAGAAGUAUCUCGGUACGUAAAGCUCUAUCAGCAGGGAAGAAAAUGACGGUACCUGACUAAGAAGCCCCGGCUAACUACGUGCCAGCAGCCGCGGUAAUACGUAGGGGGCAAGCGUUAUCCGGAUUUACUGGGUGUAAAGGGAGCGUAGACGGCAGCACAAGUCUGGAGUGAAAUCCCGGGGCUUAACCCCGGAACUGCUUUGGAAACUGUGCGGCUGGAGUGCAGGAGGGGUAAGCGGAAUUCCUAGUGUAGCGGUGAAAUGCGUAGAUAUUAGGAGGAACACCGGUGGCGAAGGCGGCUUACUGGACUGUAACUGACGCUGAUGCACGAAAGCGUGGGGAUCAAACAGGAUUAGAUACCCCAGUAGUC